CAGGGUCUAACGACUGCCCAAACCAAACCGUGAACCAUUCCACGAACCAUAUGCUUCGGCGGGUCGCUCGCUGGGGGAGCCGCGCGGCCGCUUGAUCGGUGGUCCGCCGAAGCAUGCAAAACAAAAAUCGUCACUGAAUCCUCUCUGAGAAGAUUUUUUCUUAAAAGGAAAUUGAAUCA
rnacentral:misc_RNA from 1 species